UCUUGGUUUGAUUGAUUGGCUAUAGUCCUU
rnacentral:piRNA from 1 species